UACGGAGGGUGCGAGCGUUGUCCGGAAUCAUUGGGCGUAAAGGGCGCGUAGGUGGCCGAGCAAGGUCGCGGUGAAAGCCCGGGGCUCAACCCCGGGUCGGCCGUGGCAACUACUGGGCUGGAGCACUGUAGGGGCGGGUGGAAUUCCGGGUGUAGCGGUGGAAUGCGUAGAGAUCCGGAAGAACACCGGUGGCGAAGGCGGCCCGCUGGGCAGUUGCUGACACUGAGGCGCGACAGCGUGGGGAGCAAACAGG
rnacentral:rRNA from 1 species